UGGUGGCCGACUAAGGAAAAGAAAGGAAGAAAAAGAGGAGAAAGAAAUGGAACAGAGGGAGAGAUGAAGAAAGGAGGAGAAGGAAAUAAGAAGACCCUCCUUUUCUUUGGAAGAGGCAUGCUGUUAUUGGAGAGAAAAGUAGGAAAGGAAAGGGAAGAAGGGACGAGAAGGAGCGAAAGAAAAGAAAGAAGAAAAGACCAGAGAGAGCACGGGGAAGAGAAAGAAAAGAAGGAAAGAACAGAGAAAACGCGGGGAAGAGAAAGGAAAGAAGGAAAGAAAAACAAAAGAGAGAGAGAGGGAGCACAGUAAAGUAAGGUAUUGGUGAAGAUUAACAGAGUAGCUUUGUUUUUGAGAAAUUGUGCAGUGAUUGUUCAUGGUGGGUUUCGAUUCCAGAAGAGGGAGAGAUUGAGGUGAUGUUUAGUCGUCUUUUGUACAAGGGAAUAGUGGGUUGAGGUUUUACCAUUCAAUGGAACGGGUGAGGAGGAAGUUUCUGCUUGUGAAGUUGGAGAAUACAAUUUGUAUACCAAAACGACGUUGGAUUUUCUGAAAUAGAAGUGAAGCUACAUGAACCAUGACUGCUGGGAGCUAAUGGAUUUGAGGUACGAAAUGCAGAGGGCAACCUCUUUUGUUGCUCAAGUAGGCCAUGGCUCUCCGGUCUAACAACACAGCCAAAGCUAAAGCAAUAGCACUAAGGAUGAAGGCACUGCAAAUGAAAAGAGGUAAAAAAAACAGUGUCGAAACCAGCUGUUGAAGAGACUGAUGCACUACCUAAAUCUGCCUUCACCAAACAUGAUCAAUAGUAUGAGAUAUCAGUGUUUUUUGGGUUC